UUUCCGUAGGUGAACCUGCGGAAGGAUCAUUACUGAGAACGUGCCCUUCGCGGUACAUCUCCCACCCUGUGUUUUCACUACCUUUGUUGCUUUGGCAGGCCCGCCCUCGGGCCGCCGGCUCCGGCUGGCCAGCGUCUGCCAGAGGAUUCAAAACUCAUGGUUAUUUUUGCCGUUUGAGUACUAUACAAUAGUUAAAACUUUCAACAACGGAUCUCUUGGUUCUG
rnacentral:misc_RNA from 1 species